UCAUCGACAUCUAUAGCUGAAACCACCAUGACCACCGUCAUUUACUCCGAUUUCUUCAGAGACUAGCCCGUCAAUCACGUUGCCCGUUUCCUACUCGAACCCGGCCGCCCAUUAUCGUUUUGCAUCUUCGCCCACACCUAAUUUCUGUUGUAGUUUGGUCUCAUUUUCAGCACACCGAAGCUUUUACUUUCGUGAGAUUUGCCUAUUUUGCACAAAGAUUCAGUGUGCUAAAGAUGUGGAG